rnacentral:rRNA from 1 species
GACACGCUGGCGGCGUGCUUAACACAUGCAAGUCGAGCGAUGAAGCUUCUUCGGAAGUGGAUUAGCGGCGGACGGGUGAGUAACGCGUGGGUAACCUGCCUUACACAGGGGGAUAACAGUUAGAAAUGACUGCUAAUACCGCAUAACCCGCUAGUACCGCAUGGUACGGACGGAAAAGAUUUAUCGGUGUAAGAUGGACCCGCGUCUGAUUAGCUAGUUGGUGAGGUAACGGCUCACCAAGGCGACGAUCAGUAGCCGGCUUGAGAGAGUGAACGGCCACAUUGGGACUGAGACACGGCCCAGACUCCUACGGGAGGCAGCAGUGGGGAAUAUUGCACAAUGGGGGAAACCCUGAUGCAGCAACGCCGCGUGAAGGAAGACGGUCUUCGGAUUGUAAACUUUUGUUCUUAGUGAAGAAUUAUGACGGUAGCUAAGGAGAAAGCCACGGCUAACUACGUG